rnacentral:rRNA from 1 species
GACGAACGCUGGCGGCGUGCCUAAUACAUGCAAGUGGGACGCAAGGGAACACACUGUGCUUGCACACCGUGUUUUCUUGAGUCGCGAACGGGUGAGUAACGCGUAGGUAACCUGCCUAUUAGCGGGGGAUAACUAUUGGAAACGAUAGCUAAUACCGCAUAAUAUUAAUUAUUGCAUGAUAAUUGAUUGAAAGAUGCAAGCGCAUCACUAGUAGAUGGACCUGCGUUGUAUUAGCUAGUUGGUAAGGUAAGAGCUUACCAAGGCGACGAUACAUAGCCGACCUGAGAGGGUGAUCGGCCACACUGGGACUGAGACACGGCCCAGACUCCUACGGGAGGCAGCAGUAGGGAAUCUUCGGCAAUGGACGAAAGUCUGACCGAGCAACGCCGCGUGAGUGAAGAAGGUUUUCAGAUCGUAAAGCUCUGUUGUAAGUCAAGAACGUGUGUGAGAGUGGAAAGUUCACACAGUGACGGAGCUACCAGAAA